AUUUGUCCCAUUCUGUGUUUUUUCUUAAUUUCUUAACAGAAGAAAACUAGGAAGAUUGAUUUCUAGCUGAAACGAGACAAAAUGAUGGAGCAAGAGGUUAGAAAAAGCCUCUCGUGAGAAAGAAGUGACAAGUUUGAAGACAUAAGUGUGUGGCAGAAAGUGAGAAAGAACUGGAAUUUCCCAGCUCUUUGGCAGAAAAAGGUGCAGAUGAGACAUGCAAGAGCCACUUUAUCCUACCGGGAACACUGGAGCUGAUUACCAAAGGCUUUUCUAAUGUGUCCCUGGAGAGCCACAGAGCAAUACAGACAAUUCCAGCAUCUCACUUGUACCUCGGGAAGCAAAGAAGAGCUACAUUUAAGAUGGAAAAGAUAUUAAAACCCAGAAAGCUCUUCCACUGACCGGGGGCACCACAGGAAUUCCUUUUGCUUUGAACAGACGCAGCGCCCUUCCUCCUCC
rnacentral:lncRNA from 1 species